ensembl:lncRNA
UAGAGGAGGCAGGGUAGCCUAGUGGUUAGAGUGUAGAGGAGGCAGGGUAGCCUAGUGGUUAGAGUGUAGAGGGGGCAGGGUAGCCUAGUGGUUAGAGCGUAGAGGAGGCAGGGUAGCCUAGUGGUUAGAGUGUAGAGGUGGCAGGGUAGCCUAGUGGUUAGAGUGUAGAGGUGGCAGGGUAGCCUAGUGGUUAGAGUGUAGAGGUGGCAGGGUAGCCUAGUGGUUAGAGCGUUGGACUAGUAACCCGAAAGGUUGCACAAUUGAAUCCCCGUAGCUGACAAGGUACAAAUCUGUCGAUCUGCCCCUGAACAAGGCAGUUAAACCCACUGUUCCU